UUAGAGUUGGUCCUACAGGCCUCAAAUCCUGGUGAAUUUACCAGAUAGGUUGUUUGUAGGGGAGGGGCUAAAGAUGAGAGUAGCCGUGGUGGGACGUAGGCCCCGAUGCUUCAAGUGUGGAGAGUAGGGCCACGUCCGCCCCAACUGUACGAAAAGGAAAAAAGGAAAACGAGGCUUCUCCCCAAAAAACGUGAAGAGGAAGCGGAGAGGAGAACAAAACAAGAGUGCAGAGAAGCUACAGAAACCAGAGAACAUGACAGAAAGAAAAGCAGAGGAAGAAAAGAAAAAAGCGAAUGACACGAUGGAUUUUACCACAGUGACAUACAAACGGGAAAAAAAAAACACACGUCCCAGACUCUCCUCAACAAAGAAAAUAAGUGACGAAAAACACCGCAGACACACAGACUAAAACUCCCCAGUCCAUCCCCAUGGUGCAACCUUUCACCAAACCCCUUCCCAAAACACAAGAAAAAACCGUUGCAUAUCGAGAGACGAAUGAACCAUUAAACCGUAUUAGUAGAGCGCACUUUAAAAUUCAUGUGUUGAAAAGAACAAAGCAAACUCUCCCAAACAUCAGGUAUGCCAAGAUGGACGUGGGGCUGUUUUCGGAGUUCAGAAAGCCAUACACAAAUGACAUCUCGGAUGUUACCACAGAGAUGGCCGACACGAAAUCUAUAAUUAACCUCGCGGUGACGCCAAUAAUAAGCCCAACUGCUACACCAACAAAAAGGAAGGAAGGGGAGGUAAGCGAAUUUGUACAGCCCCUUCGCAAGCAUCAAAUAGAAGCAUUAGAAGACUUCUUGGAACUAGUGUUCUCUCGAUGCUCAGGAGUCGAAGCCUAACUACGGAGACAAACAUUUGUGGGAAGCCGAUGAGGAAGCAGUCUGUUACAUCUGGCUGAAGAGACAGUAGGAAUUAGAAUUGAGGAUGGUGGAAACACCUGGCAUAUUGUCUCGACAUCUGACUCAACAAAGUUCCUGCUGCUGUGUGGGAGGUUUCUCACGUGCAUCUGUAGCUGUACCGAGCAGCUCUGAUAUCGUGGAGCAAGGAGCUGAAACACCUACAGAGCUGCUUCAUCGCCAGACAAGGCAUCGAUCCCCACUUUCAGAGACAGAAUACAGCAGUACCCUCUGUACAAAAGUGUUU